rnacentral:rRNA from 1 species
CAUGCAAGUCGAACGAAACUUCUUACACCGAAUGCUUGCAUUCACCGUAAGAAGUUGAGUGGCGGACGGGUGAGUAACACGUGGGUAACCUGCCUAAAAGAAGGGGAUAACACUUGGAAACAGGUGCUAAUACCGUAUAUCUCUAAGGAUCGCAUGAUCCUUAGAUGAAAGAUGGUUCUGCUAUCGCUUUUAGAUGGACCCGCGGCGUAUUAACUAGUUGGUGGGGUAACGGCCUACCAAGGUGAUGAUACGUAGCCAAACUGAGAGGUUGAUCGGCCACAUUGGGACUGAGACACGGCCCAAACUCCUACGGGAGGCAGCAGUAGGGAAUCUUCCACAAUGGACGCAAGUCUGAUGGAGCAACGCCGCGUGAGUGAAGAAGGUCUUCGGAUCGUAAAACUCUGUUGUUAGAGAAGAACACGAGUGAGAGUAACUGUUCAUUCGAUGACGGUAUCUAACCAGCAAGUCACGGCUAACUACGUGCCAGCAGCCGCGGUAAUACGUAGGUGGCAAGCGUUGUCCGGAUUUAUUGGGCGUAAAGGGAACGCAGGCGGUCUUUUAAGUCUGGUGUGAAAGCCUUCGGCUUAACCGGAGUAGUGCAUUGGAAACUGGAAGACUUGAGUGCAGAAGAGGAGAGUGGAACUCCAUGUGUAGCGGUGAAAUGCGUAGAUAUAUGGAAGAACACCAGUGGCGAAAGCGGCUCUCUGGUCUGU